GGUGGCGCCGCACCCCUGAGGAGCGUGGUCCACGCGGAAGAGCGGGGCUUUUCACCGCCGCCGCUGCCGCCCUCGGACCUCUCCCGGGAUACUUCACAUUUCCCUAGGGACAGGAGCCCGAGGGGUCCGCUCGGCCCUCCUCCUCUUCAGCUUGCGCCGCGAGCUAAAGAGCUAGGCGUGGCGGGCUGGGCCGACACCCCGCUGUAGAACUGUAACCCUUAGUCCCAAUGCCUCCGUAAGCGGAGUUGAGUGGGUGCAGGUGGUUGGAGCUGUGGAGGUGUCCCCGGUGGCGAGCGCGGCCAGAACUGCGGUCACUUAAGUUUUCUGUGUGCGCGUUUCAAGGAGCAUGCGUGCGUCUGGUAUAAUUUGACUUUCUGAGAUUCUGCCUUAGCAAGAAAGGAGCAGGAAAUACUCUUGGAAAGAAAACUAAAACAGUAAGAAAGCCAAAACUUAUUUUUACAUGGUUGUCAGCACAUUUACCGAUAUGGACACUUUUCCCAAUAAUUUUCCUCCUGGUGGAGACAGCGGAUUGACAGGUUCUCAGUCGGAGUUCCAGAAAAUGUUAAUUGAUGAAAGGUUACGAUGUGAGCAUCAUAAAGCUAAUUAUCAGACUCUGAAGGCUGAACACACAAGGUUGCAUAAUGAAUAUAUAAAGUUACAAAAUGAACUCAAGCACCUGUUUAAUGAAAAGCAAACUCAGCAGGAAAAACUUCAGCUGCUGCUUGAAGAACUAAGAGGAGAACUAGUAGAGAAAACUAAAGACUUAGAAGAAAUGAAACUGCAGAUAUUAACUCCACAAAAAUUGGAAUUGCUAAGAGCCCAAAUACAGCAAGAAUUAGAAACUCCAAUGAGAGAACGUUUUCGGAAUCUAGAUGAAGAGGUGGAAAAGUAUAGAGCUGCAUAUAAUAAGCUUCGCUAUGAACAUACAUUUCUCAAGUCAGAAUUUGAACACCAGAAGGAAGAGUAUGCACGUAUUUUAGAUGAAGGAAAAAUAAAAUAUGAAUCAGAGAUUGCAAGACUGGAGGAAGAUAAAGAAGAACUACGUAACCAGCUGCUUAAUGUUGAUCUCACAAGAGACAGCAAACGAGUGGAACAACUUGCUCGAGAAAAAGUCUAUUUGUGUCAAAAAUUAAAAGGGUUAGAGGCUGAAGUAGCGGAAUUAAGGGCUGAAAAGGAGAAUUCUGAUGCUCAGGUGGAAAAUGCCCAAAGAAUACAGGUGCGGCAGUUGGCUGAGAUGCAGGCUACAGUCAGAUCCCUGGAGGCUGAAAAACAAUCAGCUAAUUUACGGGCAGAACGCUUGGAAAAAGAGCUACAAUCAAGCAGUGAACAAAAUACCUUUUUAAUUAAUAAAUUGCAUAAAGCUGAACGAGAAGUAAAUACAUUGUCCAGUAAAGUGAAAGAACUUAAACAUUCAAACAAACUGGAAAUAACAGACAUCAGACUGGAGACAGCAAGGGCUAAGAGUGAGCUAGAAAGAGAAAGGAAUAAGAUUCAAAGUGAACUGGAUGGAUUACAGUCAGACAAUGAAAUUCUCAAAGCAGCUGUUGAACACCACAAAGUGCUCUUAGUAGAAAAGGAUCGUGAAUUAAUACGUAAAGUACAAGCUGCCAAAGAAGAAGGUUAUCAAAAACUUGUGGUAUUACAAGAUGAAAAGUUAGAACUCGAGAACAGAUUAGCAGAUUUGGAGAAAAUGAAAGUAGAACAUGAUGUCUGGAGGCAAUCUGAAAAGGAUCAGUAUGAGGAGAAAUUGCGGGCUUCACAGAUGGCAGAAGAGAUCACCAGGAAGGAGCUUCAGAGUGUUAGGUUAAAACUGCAACAACAAAUUGUGACUAUUGAAAAUGCAGAGAAGGAAAAAAAUGAAAAUUCUGACCUAAAACAGCAAAUCAGUAGUUUGCAGAUCCAAGUGACCUCACUUGCACAGUCAGAGAAUGACUUGCUGAAUUCAAACCAAAUGCUGAAGGAAAUGGUGGAGAGAUUAAAACAAGAAUGCCGAAAUUUUAGAAGCCAAGCUGAAAAAGCGCAACUAGAAGCUGAAAAGACAUUGGAAGAGAAACAGAUACAGUGGUUGGAAGAAAAGCACAAGCUUCAUGAGCGUAUCACAGAGAGAGAAGAAAAGUGUAAUCAAGCUAAGGAGAAACUUCAGCGAGCUGCAAUUGCCCAGAAAAAGAGAAAAUCUCUCCAUGAAAACAAAUUGAAAAGACUACAAGAGAAAGUAGAAGUCUUGGAGGCAAAGAAAGAAGAAUUGGAAACAGAAAAUCAGGUGUUAAAUAGACAAAAUGUUCCUUUUGAAGACUAUACAAGGCUUCAAAAAAGACUAAAAGAUAUACAGAGAAGACAUAAUGAAUUUCGAAGUCUAAUUUUGGUCCCUAACAUGCCUCCAACGGCAUCUAUCAAUCCUGUUAGCUUUCAAUCAUCAGCCAUGGUUGCAAGCAUGGAACUACCAUUUCCUCCUCAUAUGCAGGAGGAACAACAUCAAAGGGAACUCUCCCUACUUCGCAAAAGACUAGAAGAACUGGAGACAACACAAAGAAAACAACUAGAGGAACUUGGAUCUUCUGGAGAAUGAUGUUCUUGGAGAACAGGCAGAUCAAAAGAGGCAAACAUACCAAAUGACAGACAGAAGCUCACUUGGAAAGAACAAGAAAGGGUUAACUGCCAGAGCUACUGAAGAGGAGGAUAGAGGAGGGCUCUUCAAAAGGCCCAAUCUUUGAAACCUAAAAACCACAGCUCUUCCACUUUUCAACACAAAGACACCAUCCCCCUUAAGCUGGAAUGAUAGCAACGCUGCAAGACGGCUUCACCACAGCCCCAUGUAGUGAUGGAAGGGAUCACAUUCUUAGGACUGGAAAGAGAUCGAAAUGGCUUUUCUCAGCUUUCAGAGAAUUACAUAGCAACAACUCAAUCUCACCUUUGUGACAAUACAGCUGAGAGAGACAAAAAGCAAUACUUUAUGAAGCUGGACAGCUGUGGUGGUUCUUCAUUCUCCCUGCUGGAGAGACUUGUCCUGCCUCCUCCUAUUAAUGGCAGUGAGUAGCCCCAUCCCCUGCCUCUGCGGCCCACCCCAUGCCCCACGGUGGCCGAGGGAUGCUGAGAGGCCUGGCGGGAGGCACAGCUGAGCAAGCCAAGAACUCCAGUCAACAGCACCAGAGGAGGGCCUUGGAGGCUGUGUCCCCUCUGAACUCGCCAAGACAAGCCUGCCACCCAGACACAGGGAGAGGUGCUGGCCUGCAGGUUUCUCUGGCACUCAGAUCUCUGAGAAGUCACGUGGACCCCUCACCGCCCUCGGCACUCACCCAGUAUGUGGGUUAAGAGGCCAAAGGAAGUAUCGCUCAAUAUUGCAAACAAACAGGAAAUUUAGAACUUCUUCAGGAAGAAAGGACCUACACAAAAGGGCUCUGAUGUUUCAAACCACUUUUUCCCUGAUAAGCCUGGAAGUAAAGCCACUGAAGACAAAAUAAUGCAUUCUAUGAGGGACUAAGCUCUUCAACAAAAAUUCCAGAAGCAAAUCUGUAUAUGCUCACACUUGUGUGGCCACGUUCACAAAGAGAGGCAUGAUAUGAACCAUCUCUGCAGGCUCCUGUUUGGGGUGAAGGGGGAGGCAUCAGUGUGCGAACGUCCCAGCACCACAGGGUGCAGACUGUCUGGCCAAGGCUGCCAACCUGUGCCUAGGUCAGAAUGUGGUGCACAAAUGUGAUUUUUCUUUUUUUGGAACCUGCAUGAUGUUUAUUAUUUUAGUGUCGACUCAGUGCCAACAUUUAAAGAUUAAAAGAUUGCACAUAGGCUGGAUGUAGCAGCUCAGGCCUGUAAUCCCAAUACUUUGGGGGGCUGAGGCAGGGGGAUUACUUGAGGCUAGGAGUUCAAGACCAGCCUAGGCAACAUAGUGAGACCCUGUCUCUCUAAAAUUUUUUUAAAAGUUUUUAAGUUGCAUAUAAAAAACUGGAUAUCUGAUUUCUUAAAAAAAAAAAAAAAAAAAAACUAACAGUCUAACAACACAAUCUGCGCUCCACAUGGCAAUCACUGAAGCAAAUGGCACUGUCCCCUUGGAUGGCGAGACCUUUCCCAUUAAGUCAAGCUCCACUGCUUUCUGUAGUCCCAGGUGGCUGACACCCCUUAUGUAUUUUCUGCCCCUUUGGGCAUCUGUGUUUUUGAGCCUCUGCUGUAAGAGCUCCAAGCAUAGCUGCCUCUGGUGUUGGAUUUUUUUUUUUUUUUUUUGGAGGCAGGGUCUCCCUCCAUUGCCUAGGCUGGAAUACAGUGGCACAACCUGGGCUCACUGCAACCUCUGCCUCCCGGGUUCAAGCAAUUCUUCUGCCUCAGCCUCCCAAGUAGCUGGGACUACAGGUGUGCACCACCAUGCCUGGCUAAUUUUUGUAUUUGUAGUAGAGACGGGGUUUCACCAUGUUGGCCAGACUGGUCUUGAACUCCUGACUUCAGGUGAUCCGCCUGCCUUGGCCUCUCAAAGUGCUGGGAUUAUAGGCAUGAGCCACCGCGUCCAGCCUGGUGUUGGAUUUCAAUACAGUUGAUGGCUUUGCCUCAGAAACCAGCCCUGGAGGUAGUCUGGGAAAUCAGCAGGCAUGCAGAAGCCUGACACGGCUGACAGGCUGUGUCCCCAGGCUCCCUGUUUGCUCUGCUCCUUGCCUUCCUACUUUAGGAGGCAAGGGACACCCAAACUCAGGAAAAGAGUAAGGAUGCUACUACCUGCUCAUCAGCGGCAGGACCAAGACUGUUGGGCAGGGUAUGCCCAUGUCUUUUGUAGUGAGAGCCACACAUUUGCAAGAUGUAUGCUCAGGGCAAGGAAGUUGGGGGUCUGGGGUCGGGGUCAUGAUUUCCUGGCUGGGGCUCCCCCUCUGAUCCUGUAUCUAACCAAAUGAGCUAAAAUGGUCCUCAAGCGGCUCAACAGUCACCCAAGGAAGGAAGCAGAAGAGGGGUGCCUUAGCAGCCCUACUUUCUUUAAAGCCAGAUCACCACCAAGUUGCCCCACAUUUGCAUGGUCUCAAACUUCCAAGACCCUGCCUCAAAGCUUUCUCAAUGGCCUUUUAGCAGGGGGCUGGACUGGGAGGGCCGAGUGGGAGGAUUUUAAUUGUCUGCUUAGUCAAGGCCUAUAACUGUACAUCAAGGGGAGGUGAACCUCGUUACACUGUCUGUCACCACCAUGAUGUUAUUCUUCGUUUCUGUCCCAUUAUUUGCUAUAAAAUCCCACGACAGUCUCCUGGGAGGACUGCACGGAGCUCAACUUUAAAAUGUUGAUGAACAUUUGAGUGAAGUGGGGCCCUGUUAGCUUGCUCACGCAUAUGCUCUCCUUUGCAGUAUACCAAUAGAGCCCGAAAAUGAAUUCAUAGCAGAUGCUGCUGCACACUGGGGGAGGACGGAGCACAUACUUAAUACAGGAUGUGAUUAGCAGAGGAAGAUGACCUUUCUAGCAGGCUGGAGUUAACACCCAGAGUCUGAGGCACCCACUAAUGACACGCUCAGUAUCACAACAAACAAAUCAAGUGCCAAUAUGAAAUGCAACACACGCAGAGGGCCCCGUGUUGACACCUUUCUGUACUUCGUGAUGCAAGGUGACUCCGUGCGGGCUCAGGGUCUGCAAUCUCAUGAAUCUGAUUUACAGACGUAAUAUGUAAAAACAACAACAAAAAAAAACCCCGCCAUCUUUUAAGAACUGUGCUUCCUUCGAAGAAUCAGGAUGCCCAUGAGAGAGCAAAGCAGUCUCUUGGCCCCUAGACAUGCCCUCCAGGAACAAUCUGGCUGUGAGCAGAGAGUUUAAUAGGCAAGAAGGACGGGAGAAGACAGAAGAAAGAUGCUCCCUCAUACAGAGACGGAGGGAGGGGGGCUCCAAGUCCUGUGGACACCAGCCAGGUAUAUAUGCAGAGGCUGCAGGAGGCAAUGUCUGAUUUGCAUAGGGCUCAGGGGUGAGAUGAAAACACAAAUAAUAUGGAAGAUGGGAACCCUCAGGCCUACCUCAACUUAAAAAUGGGUAUAAUGACAGUACCAGCCUUCUAGCAUUGUUAUGGAGAUUAAAUGUGAUCAUGCAUUCAAGGGCUUAGCACAGGGCCGGGCUGCUGGGAAAGGCUUGAUAAUAUCGGUAAUAAAACCUGUUACAAUUA